CCCACCCUACUCCCGGAAGCCCAUUUCCAGCCCCCAGGCCAGGCCUUGCCCCCAGCGCUGACCUGCACCCCCAGGUAGAAUCGGGCUUCCCGCCCUCUCCCGCCGCUGUCCCGAAGCGGAGACGUGGAAGGAGCGAUGGACAGCGGAGCGCUGGAGGGACACAGGCCAGCCAAGCCCGCAGCGCCGCACUGGGGUUUAAAGGAGGCGCCUUGUGCGCAACGCGGCGCGCGUCCGGGAUGCAGGGUGUCCAGACCGGCCGCGGCUAAUUGAAAUCUCGCUCGACUGCAGCCAGCUCCAGGUCAGAAUUCUGGAUUCACUGAAGCCCCAUCCGUCUCUGCCACCAUGGAUGCCAGCUCCCCACAGAGACCCUGGGACACAUGGCUGAUGAACUGAGGAGUGAAGGUUUGAACCCACUGGCCUGGGACCGCGGAUCCUGCAGAACUUCACGAUGCACAGGACAGGCUCC